GACGAACGCUGGCGGCGCGCCUAACACAUGCAGGUCGAACGGAGCUGAGAGAAGCUUGCUUUUCUUAGCUUAGUAGCGAACGGGUGAGUAACGCGUGAGUAACCUGCCCUGGAGUGGGGGACAACAGUUGGAAACGACUGCUAAUACCGCAUAAGCCCACGAUCCGGCAUCGGAUUGAGGGAAAAGGAUUUAUUCGCUUCAGGAUGGACUCGCGUCCAAUUAGCUAGUUGGUGAGGUAACGGCCCACCAAGGCGACGAUUGGUAGCCGGACUGAGAGGUUGAACGGCCACAUUGGGACUGAGACACGGCCCAGACUCCUACGGGAGGCAGCAGUGGGGGAUAUUGCACAAUGGGGGAAACCCUGAUGCAGCGACGCCGCGUGGAGGAAGAAGGUUUUCGGAUUGUAAACUCCUGUCGUUAGGGACGAUAAUGACGGUACCUAACAAGAAAGCACCGGCUAACUACGUG
rnacentral:rRNA from 1 species